AAUUUUCAGUUCAUAUGGAAAUGUUAUGCGAUCACAUUGCUUAGGUUGUGGCGGAGAGUUGAAGACGACUUGGGAGUUCCCAUACCAUGUCCUACGUAUCCAAUAUGAAGAGGCGGCAGAUUUGGCUUAUAAUGGCUUAGUUCAACAAUGGGAACAAGACCAGAGCGAUGCUAUAUUUACUCAGGAUAUUGGGAAUUAACCGUUAACGUGGAUGAAAAUUUCAGAGCGAACUUUUGACCCGGCAGCUAUAGUAUGUGUUGAAACUAGGAAGAAGUUGGAAGUGAUUAUGACAACCGAUCUGCAUAGCAGGAGUCACGUAGAUUUCAUCGAUUAAAAGGAAAUCAUGGUAUUCCUUGUUUUAGCAAUUUCAUGUUCCUAACUAUUCUUUCACUUACUAACAACUCUUCUUUUAUUUAACUUGUGUUAAUAUUUUUAUGUUUUUUAUUUUAUGUAUUUUCAGGUCCAAACAUUGAUAAAUGAUCUUUGGAAGAGUGCAACAAGAAGAUUGACAAAGUAUAAAGACCAAGAAAUUUGUCUGUUCGAAGGAUUGAACUCUUUAGUUAUUUGCAAAGUUUAUUUGAAGAGGAGUGCAUUACAUUGAAUUCUUUAGUUAUCUGGAAAGUUUAUUUUAAAUGAAAAGUGCAUUGCUUUUACUUAUAGCAAAAGAUUAUGAUGGUGCAACAAAGUUCAUUUGGAUGUCUUAGAAUAAUAUAAAUACAUUACACACAUAUAUUCUAUAUUAAGUACAUAUAUAUAUUUUAUUUAGUUUUUCUUUUAAUAUCAAAUUUUCAGUUCAUAUGGACAUGUUAUGCAAUCACACUGUUUGGAUUGUGGCGAAGAGUUACAACUUGGGAUUUUCUGUAACAUGUCGUGCGUUAUCCAAUAUGU
rnacentral:lncRNA from 1 species